rnacentral:tRNA from 1 species
GGGCCCGUGGCCUAGUCAGGAUUAAGGCACCGGCCUCCGGAGCCGGAGAUCCCGGGUUCAAAUCCCGGCGGGCCCGCCA